CAGUCGCCACGGUAAUACGAAGGGUGCAAGCGUUAAUCGGAAUUACUGGGCGUAAAGCGUGCGUAGGCGGUGAGUUAAGUCUGCUGUGAAAUCCCCGGGCUCAACCUGGGAAUGGCAGUGGAUACUGGCUCGCUAGAGUGUGUCAGAGGAUGGUGGAAUUCCCGGUGUAGCGGUGAAAUGCGUAGAGAUCGGGAGGAACAUCAGUGGCGAAGGCGGCUCACUGGACCAUAACUGACGCUGAUGCGCGAAAGCUAGGGGAGCAAACAGGAUUAGAUACCCCUGUAGUCCCUGUCUCUUAUAA
rnacentral:rRNA from 1 species